GUUGGAACAUAGAUAGAUGCAUGAUACAUAUAUAGAUAUAGAUGGAUGAUAGAUAGUUUAUAGACCUUAUUCAUAAAUCGUGAUGCUAUUGUGUCGACUUUAACGUUAACGGCUUGUCUGUUGUUCCUUAUUUCAAUUUAUAACGAUUUUUUAGUGUAUUUUAAGGCUUUGUGCCCAUAACGAAAGCUGUAAACGAGCAUAAAAACGACCGGUUUUUCUCCCGUUUUUUGUGUGGAAAAUAUGACGUAGCGAUGGUGUUUAUCCAGAAGCGAAAAACAGUAUUUUACUGAGAUUUUAACGUUAAUAUCAGUGGCGGCGCUAGGGUGGUGGUGGUGGGGGGGGGGGGGGAAAUGCCCCAAAUUAUCUAUUCCCCCCCCCCCCAUUUUGCCCCCCCCCCCCUCAAAAAAAUUAUUAGUCACUAAAAGCGACUAAAGGCUACACAAGUGUUUUGUCGUUAUCGGAAAAUGUAUGGCUUGUAAGUUGUCAUUACUCAUUAGUGAAUGCGCGUAUACAUGAAACUGUUUUUUACAGUUUCAAUAUUAGUUUGUAAAUCUCUGAAUGGUAAAACUUGCCAAUACUCCAAUAAUACGUCUCAAAAAAAGACAAAAAAGCUUUAGUUUUGCAGAGUUAAAUUCUGAAACAUGUAAGGCACUAAUAAGAUGAAAGUAUCAUGAAAUUAUUUGAAUAAACCACAUCGCAUAUAUGGGGGGCGAAUAUCCUAGAGAGGGGCGAUAUUCCUAGGGUAUUCGCCCCACCCCCCUGGGAGGCGAUAUUCCUAGGAUAUUCGCCCCUGGAGGCGAUAUUCCUAGGAAUAUCUCCCCUCUUUUGAGGGGGGGGGGCGAAUCUCCUUCGGGGGGGGGGGGGCGAACUUAUUAAAAAUUCUAUCUUGCCCCCCAGAAUAUGAGUUUUCCCCUCAAAUGCCCCCCAAAAUUCGGAGGCCUGGCGCCGCCACUGGUUAAUAUAUAGGUUAUUCCGUAAAAAAUCAAGACAACUAUGGAAUGAAAGUAUAAUUUUUGGAAUUUGAC